rnacentral:rRNA from 1 species
GAUGAACGCUGGCGGCGUGCCUAAUACAUGCAAGUCGAGCGAACAGAUGAGGAGCUUGCUCCUCUGACGUUAGCGGCGGACGGGUGAGUAACACGUGGAUAACCUACCUAUAAGACUGGGAUAACUACGGGAAACCGGAGCUAAUACCGGAUAAUAUAUUGAACCGCAUGGUUCAAUAGUGAAAGACGGUUUUGCUGUCACUUAUAGAUGGAUCCGCGCCGCAUUAGCUAGUUGGUAAGGUAACGGCUUACCAAGGCAACGAUGCGUAGCCGACCUGAGAGGGUGAUCGGCCACGCUGGAACUGAGACACGGUCCAGACUCCUACGGGAGGCAGCAGUAGGGAAUCUUCCGCAAUGGGCGAAAGCCUGACGGAGCAACGCCGCGUGAGUGAUGAAGGUCUUCGGAUCGUAAAACUCUGUUAUUAGGGAAGAACAAAUGUGUAAGUAACUAUGCACGUCUUGACGGUACCUAAUCAGAAAGCCACGGCUAACUACGUG